GUUGGCUUGGAAGCAGCCAUUCAUUUAAAGAGUGCGUAACAGCUCACUAGUCGAGUGCUUUGGCGUGGAUAAUAAUCGGGCAUAAGCUAUUUACCGAAGCUGUGGGAUGUAUAAUACAUCGGUAGGGGAGCAUUCUAGCGGCGGUGAAGGUAGGAGGACAACUUCUGCUGGAGCUUCUAGAAAAGCAAAUGUAGGUAUAAGUAACGAUAAAGGAGGUGAGAAACCUCCUCGCCGAAAGACUAAGGUUUCCUGAUCAACGCUAAUCGGAUCAGGGUUAGUCGGGGCCUAAGGGGGAGCCGAACGGCGUACCCGAUGGAAGAACCGGUUAAUAUUCCGGUACUAAUUAUGUGAGCGAUGUGGAGACGGAGAUGUGAUGGUCCUGCCAGCUGACGGAAUAGCUGGUUGAAGGGUGUAGGCGUUGAUCGGGGUAGGCAAAUCCGCCCUGAGAGCUGAACCUGACAGUACACUGAGUGCUUGCACGAGGUGAUAUGGACAAAGUAACGGCGCUUCCUAGAAAAUCCGCUAAGCAUAUUGCAUGAUUACCCGUACCAUAAACCGACACAGGUGGUUGGGUUGAGUAUACUAAGGCGCUCGAGUGAUUCGCGGUUAAGGAACUAGGCAAAAUAGUCCUGUAACUUCGGGAAAAAGGACGCCUCUGAGUGAUCAGAGGUCGCAGAGAAAAGGCCCUGGCGACUGUUUAACAAAAACACAUGGCUAUGCGAAAUAGAAAUAUGCAGUAUAUAGCCUGACACCUGCCCGGUGCCGGAAGGUUAAGAGGAGAGGUCAUCCUUUUUUGGAGAAGCUUUGAAUUGAAGCCCCGGUAAACGGCGGCCGUAACUAUAACGGUCCUAAGGUAGCGAAAUUCCUUGUCGGGUAAGUUCCGACCUGCACGAAUGGUGUAACGAUCUGGGCACUGUCUCAGCCGCGAGCUCGGUGAAAUUGUAGUAUCGGUGAAGAUGCCGAUUACCCGCAACGGGACGAAAAGACCCCGUGAACCUUUACUAUAGCUUUGCAUUGGAUUUGGGUAACAAAUGUGUAGGAUAGGCCGGAGGCUGAGAAGUGGGCACGCCAGUGCUUGUGGAGCCGCCGUUGAAAUACGGCCCUUUUGUUAUUUGGGUUCUAACUCGCUUGAGCGAGGACAUUGCAUGGUGGGUAGUUUGACUGGGGUGGUCGCCUCCAAAAGCGUAACGGAGGCUUCUAAAGGU
rnacentral:rRNA from 1 species